rnacentral:rRNA from 1 species
CGGUAAUUCCAGCUCCAAUAGCGUAUACUAAAGUUGUUGCGGUUAAAAAGCUCGUAGUUGGAUUUCUGCGGGGACGGAGCGGCCGGACGCAACUUGCGUCUCGAGCUAGCGCUUUCCCCGCAUCCUGCCGCGAACCGUGCUACCAUUAGUUUGGUGGCGCUGGGGAUCGGCUCGAUUACUUUGAGAAAAAUAGAGUGUUCAAAGCAGGCCACACGCCUUGAAUAAGUUAGCAUGGAAUAAUGACUAAGGACUUUGGUUCUUUUCGUUGGUGUUCGGGACUGAAGUAAUGAUUGAUAGGGACAGUUGGGGCGGUCCGUAUUCCAAAGCGAGAGGUGAAAUUCUUAGGCCUUCGGAAGACGAACAGCUGCGAAAGCGUUCCGCAAGGAUGUUCCCUUUGAUCAAGAACGAAAGUUGGGGGAUCGAAGACGAUCAGAUACCGUCGUAGUCUCAACUAUAAACUAUACCAGCUAGGGAUCGGCCAACGUUUAAUUAUUCGACUUGGUCGGCACCUUAUGAGAAAUCAAAGCAUCUGGGUUCCGGGGGGAGUAUGGUCGCAAGGCUGAAACUUAAAGGAAUUGACGGAAGGGCACCACCAGGCGUGGAGCCUGUGGCUUAAUUUGACUCAACACGGGAAAACUUACCAGGUCCAGACAUAGGAAGGAUUGACAGAUUGAUAGCUCUUUCUUGAUUCUGUGGGUGGUGGUGCAUGGCCGUUUUUAGUCGGUGAAGUGAUUUGUCUGCUUAAUUGCGUUAACGGACGAGACCCCAGCCUGCUAAAUAGCGCGGCCGAGCUUUGCUCGGUACGAGCUUCUUAGAGGGACCAUGAUGCGCGAUAGCACAAGGAAGUUUGGGGCAACAACAGGUCUGUGAUGCCCUUAGAUGUUCUGGGCCGCACACGGGCUACACUGGCGCCUGCAACGAGCAUAUCAGCUGGCCCGAGGGGGUCUUGGCUAAUCUUUGGAACCGGCGCCGUGCUUGGGAUUGACCAUUGCAAUUGUUGGUCAUGCAACGAGGAAUGCCUUGUAAACGCGAGUCAUCAGCUCGCAUUGAAUACGUCCCUGCUCUUUAAGACACCGCCC